rnacentral:rRNA from 1 species
AAGCAUGAUCGCAAGGACAUGUGGAGCGCUUAGAAGUGAGAAUGCCGGUGUGAGUAGCGAAAGACGGGUGAGAAUCCCGUCCACCGAUUGACUAAGGUUUCCAGAGGAAGGCUCGUCCGCUCUGGGUUAGUCGGGUCCUAAGCUGAGGCCGACAGGCGUAGGCGAUGGAUAACAGGUUGAUAUUCCUGUACCACCUAGUAUCGUUUUAAUCGAUGGGGGGACGCAGUAGGAUAGGCGAAGCGUGCUAUUGGAUUGCACGUCCAAGCAGUAAGACUGAGUGUUAGGCAAAUCCGGCACUCAUAAGGUCAAGCUGUGAUGGGGAGAGGAAAUUAUUUCCUCGAGUCGUUGAUUUCACACUGCCAAGAAAAGCCUCUAGAUAGAUAACAGGUGCCCGUACCGCAAACCGACACAGGUAGUCAAGAUGAGAAUUCUAAGGUGAGCGAGCGAACUCUCGUUAAGGAACUCGGCAAAAUGACCCCGUAACUUCGGGAGAAGGGGUGCUCUUUAGGGUUAACGCCCAGAAGAGCCGCAGUGAAUAGGCCCAAGCGACUGUUUAUCAAAAACACAGGUCUCUGCUAAACCGUAAGGUGAUGUAUAGGGGCUGACGCCUGCCCGGUGCUGGAAGGUUAAGAGGAGUAGUUAGCUUCUGCGAAGCUACGAAUCGAAGCCCCAGUAAACGGCGGCCGUAACUAUAACGGUCCUAAGGUAGCGAAAUUCCUUGUCGGGUAAGUUCCGACCCGCACGAAAGGCGUAACGAUUUGGGCACUGUCUCAACGAGAGACUCGGUGAAAUCAUAGUACCUGUGAAGAUGCAGGUUACCCGCGACAGGACGGAAAGACCCCGUGGAGCUUUACUGUAGCCUGAUAUUGAAAUUCGGCACAGCUUGUACAGGAUAGGUAGGAGCCUUUGAAACGUGAGCGCUAGCUUACGUGGAGGCAUUGGUGGGAUACUACCCUAGCUGUGUUGGCUUUCUAACCCGCACCACUUAUCGUGGUGGGAGACAGUGUCAGGUGGGCAGUUUGACUGGGGCGGUCGCCUCCUAAAAGGUAACGGA